UACAGAGGAUGCAAGCGUUAUCCGGAAUGAUUGGGCGUAAAGCGUCUGUAGGUGGCUUUUUAAGUCAGCCGUGAAAUCCCAGGGCUCAACCCUGGACAGGCGAUGGAAACUACGAAACUUGAGUAAGGUAGAGGCAGAGGGAAUUUUUGGUGGAGCGGUGAAAUGCGUAGAGAUCGGAUGGAAGACCAACGGCGAAAGCAGUCUACUGGGCCGACACUGACACUGAUAGACGAAAGCUAGGGGAGCGAAUAGG
rnacentral:rRNA from 1 species